AUGGUGGUUGUGCUUUCUGCUGUGUUGACUGACAGAUGUUUCAUUCCUUUCUUCUUUAUCUUCUUCCCCCUCUUCUCCACCUUUUCUCCUCCAGUGGGUGUGGUGAGGCCCACUCUGACCGUGCUCCCACACCAGAGCAGUGGCACUCUGGUGUGUCUGGCCACCGGGGGUUUCCCAUCAAAUUGGAAGCUGGGCUGGAAGGUGGGGGGCACCAGCACAUCCUCAGGGUUGUCAAACAGCUUGGAGGCCCAGGGUACAGACGGUCGCUACAGCUGGAGCAGCACCCUGAGCCUCUCUGCAGAUGAGUGGAGCAAGGCGGGCUCAGUGAGCUGUGAGGCCAGUCUGAGUGGACAGAGCCCUGUCACUCAAACCCUGGACCCUGACCAGUGCUUAGACUAG